rnacentral:rRNA from 1 species
AAACCUACGGGACGCAGCAGUGGGGAAUAUUGCACAAUGGGGGAAACCCUGAUGAGGCAACGCCGCGUGAAGGAAGACGGUUUUCGGAUUGUAAACUUCUGUUCUUAGUGAAGAAAAAUGACGGUAGCUAAGGAGCAAGCCACGGCUAACUACGUGCCAGCAGCCGCGGUAAUACGUAGGUGGCAAGCGUUGUCCGGAAUUACUGGGUGUAAAGGGAGCGCAGGCGGGAAGGCAAGUCAGCAGUGAAAACUACGGGCGUAACUUGUAGACUGGAGUUGAAACUGG